GCGCUCCCGCGGCCGCCUCAGCAUCCUCCCGGGGCACCGUCCCGCCCCUGCCCCCGCACCCGUCCCGGCACGCCGGCAGCCCCGGGCCGGAGCCACGCCACACACCGGUACCUGAAACCGCGGCUGCCGGAGAUGCUGCCUCGAGGGAGCUCCGGCGGAGUGCCCAGCAGGGAAAGCACCUGGGGGUGCUGGGUGACAGCGGCUGGAGAUGAGCCAGGCUGUGCCCAGGUGGGCAAGAAGGGCACCAGCAGCCUGGCCUGGAGCAGGAGCGGUGUGGCCAGCAGGAGCAGGGCAGUGUCUGCCUGUUCUCAGCACUGUGAGACAGGGAGCUGGAGAGAGUUGCCUGCUAACUAACACACACUGUGCCACCCAGCUGAUUCCACACCAUAGCCAAGGGCCCAGCUGGAAUUACAGGCAUGCCAGGACUCACACAACAUGUGGAGAAAUGGCUUCAAUGGGGAGAGCCAAGCUGUGAGUGGCCAUGAAUACAGCUAUUGUGAUCCAAACCCUUCAAGAUGCUGUUUGUGACUUGUAAAGCAGGCAAGCCAGCUCCUGUUCUGCUUUUCAGCAGUUCACUGAAGGGGCAGCAGGCACCAUUUCACAGAGUGACAGGGGCUGGAAGGGACCUCUGGAGAGCAGAGCAUCGAGUCAAAUCCCUCUGCCAAGGCAAGCUCACCUAGAGAGGGUCACAGAGGAACAUAUCCAGUUGGGGUGUUCAGAAUCUCUAGAGCUGGAGACCACCAAUUCGCUGGGAAGGCUGCUCCAGAGCUCCAUCACCCUUAACUAAAGAAGUUCCUCCUCAUGUUUAGCUGGAACUCCCUCAGUUCCAGUUUCUACCCUUACCCCUUGUCUGGGAACCACUGGAAACAGCCUGGUCCCAUGCUCCUGACAGCCACCCUUGAGGUAUUUAUAAGUCUUGGUAAUGCUCCCCUUGUCCAGACUAUAAAUCCCCAAGCCCCUCAGCUGUUGCUCGUAAGAGAGGUGCUGCAGUCCCUAAUCACCAUCACAGCCCUUUGCUGUACCCUUUCAGGCAGCUCCUCUUCCUUCCUGUGCUGGGGAACCCAUGACUGAACACAGCACUGCAGAUGAGGCCUCACCAGGGCAGAGCAGGGGGGAAGGAGAAGCUCCCUCAACCUGGUUGCCACACUUCAUACAUCCCAGGAUGUCACUGAUGUACAUUCUUGGCCACAAGGCCACCCUGCUGUCCAUUAGGAAUAGCUCUGAGAGCUGCAGUGUUUAUCCAAGAGGCUUCCAAAGUGCUGUGAGAGGUCACUUAAGGAAUAAAAUCAUCCCCACAGUCCCCAGCUCUUCGUUUAUCCAGUCAGGAGCAAAACAAAAAGCUCCUACUGGAGUUCUGUGCUUGGCUGACUGCCAGCGAGGGGCUGCUGCCUAUCAGCUGCCCAUCAGCAUCCCACUCAACUGAGCCAGGCAGCCAUGGAAGGGCAGGGAACAG